rnacentral:lncRNA from 10 species
CUGGGCAUGUGACAGCAUUUUGCGGCACCUCAGUAAUGAGCCAGAGAAGAAGGAAAGGCAGAUGAAUUUGCCAGCAUUAUUGCAGGUAUCUUGAAGGAGAGUUGAGCCCAGCUUUUCAAUUCAUACAGAUCCUUUCUCUGAAGAACCCCUUCCUGAUAUUGUCACUUUAACACAUCUCUGUGGUUUUAUUUUGAAAUUUUUAAAGGUACAGUCAUGUGCCGCAUAAUGACAUUCAGUCAAUGACAGACUGCAUAUAUGAGGUGGUCCUGUAAGGUGAUAAUGGAGCUGAAAAAUUCCUACUACUGAACGACAUCAUAGCCAUUGUAACAUCAUAGCACAACCAAUCACCUUUUCUAUAUUUAGCAAGAUGGCUACAGAAGUUCUGGAAAUAUACCAGACGUGGCAAUGCUGCAGAGGAAGGAGGGAGAAUAUGCCUUUCUGCAGAUCUUUCUUGGAGGAGAGAUAAGGAGUUCAUAUGCUGGAAUGAUAGUGACACAGGAGUUUAACACUCCUACAGUAUCCAGAGCCUGGAUCCCUGAGUCAUCAGAUGGAGAAGAACUACUCAGGAGAGUCAUCCAACCUUCAUAGACAGUGGCAUGAGUGGGAAUUAAACAUUGAUUAUGUUAAGCCAUUGCAGUUUGGGGUUGUUUGUUACAGAAGUGUUCAUUUUCCCUUAUUGACCCA